UGUGGUUCUUGGGUGAUGCACCUAGAAUCAGGCUCCCUCCUCUCUGGUUCUGGGUGUGUCACCCGAGAAUGGCA
rfam:Myotis lucifugus cont2.1070, whole genome shotgun sequence.